AUACGUUUACAUUACUUCACACGGUUUCAGGUUGCUUUUUCUGAUUGAAGAGGACAUCAAGGGUAUACCUUGUUUUCAGAAUGAAACCCUGAUAGCAAUUAAAGCUCUACAUGGAACAACUCUCGAAGUACCUGAUCCUGAUGAAGAUGUUGAUUACCGACAAAGGAGAUACGGGAUAUUCCUUAGAAGCAAAUGGGUCCGAUAUUUGUUUACCUAGUCAGGUGUUUUUUGGAAUAAGUUUAAUUGAUGAUAAGAAGAUAGGUUGUGUUGAAAAUUGGCCAACCAUUCUGCUGUGAUAUUUUUGGUUGAAGUGCAUGCAGCUUGUAAACAUGCUGCAGCACUUAUGCUUGCUGUAAGAGCAAGGUUUUCUCUUUAGUUUCAUUGUAUUCAAACUAGUAAAAAUGAACAAGUUGAUGACAACUUGAUGCAAUAUUAGGUGUUGAAUGACUAGUUUGGGUGGCUUGUUUAUGUGUACAAGCAAUGUUUAUCAAGUUACUAGGCUACUUAGUGGUAGUAGGUAGUAUUUGGUGAUGUAUUUGACUAUAAAUAUAUUGUUUUUCUGGUUGAAUGAGUGAGUUGAAUAAGCUAUCAGCCAUAAGCUCCCUUUGCUGCAUAUUUGUAAGUAAGUAAAAUUUUUCUUGUAUCUAAUUUUAUUGUUCUGUUCUCUCUGUUCUCUUCUUUUGCUGCUGCCAAUGUUCCAACAAAUGGUAUCAUGAGCCCAAGUCUUUGAGGGCUUAUUUUUGCUUUUGCUACUUGUUAAGAAAGACAAGAAGCUAUUAAAGCCUGUCAUCUUUGAAGGUUGCUUGUAGAAAAGACAGCAUCAGCUCAACCCUCUGAGACUCCCAAGUAAGCUUGAAUAAGCUGAAGGAGGAGUUUCAAGGAAAGUAUGUGAGCUUUCCCAUGUGCAAGCUGCAAGCUCAGCAAAGAUGUCAAAGGUGCAAGCUAAGCGAGAAGUGCGAGCUAUGAGCUCAUCAAAAGGUGUGAGCCCUGUAUAGCUGCUAGCCUGUUGAAGACAGUAAGCAAAGUGCGAACCUGUCAAAGUGUGAGCCUGUCGAAUUGCAAGCUGAAGUGGCGGACAGUCUAAAUGCAAACCUGAAUGGGUGCAAACCAAAGUGGCAGACGGUCUAAAUGCAAGCUCGAAUGGGUGCAAGCCAAAAUGGCAGAAUGAAGGCAAGCAAACUAUACUCACGAACUGUUUGUGCAAUAAAAAAUAAGAUUGUAGUGAACAAAGGAACAAGGCAAGAUGUGUUGUCAACUAAGGCUGUGAAGGAGGAGAAUACUCCAUUUGAUGAAUAAAUUUUUGGCACAAAGACUGGGAUAGUCAAGUGUGUAAGUCAGAUUUGGUUGAGAAUGAAGCCAAGGUUGAAAAUGAAUUGCUUGAGUAGAGCCAGCUUGAAACAAAGCAUCUAAGGACUGCCAAGUUCAAAAACUUGAUGAAUGACUGGUAUUUGCAGCAUGGAGUUCAAGGAGGAGUGUUGAAAAUUGGCCAACUGCUAUGAUAUUUUUGGUUGAAGUGCAUCCAGCUUGUAAACAUGCUACAGCACUUAUGCUUGCAGUAACAGCAAGGUUUUCUCUUUAGUUCAUUGUAUUCAAACUAGUUGAAAAUGAACAAGUUGAUGACAACUUGAUGCAUUAGGUGUUGAAUGACUACUUUGGGUGGCUUGUUUAUGUGUACAAGCAAUGUUUAUGAAGUUACUAGGCUACUUAGUGGUAGUAGGUAGUAUUUGGUGAUGUAUUUGACUAUAAUAUAUGAUUUUAUAUUUCUUAUGUUAAUCUAGUAUAAUUUGUAUA